GUUAGGAAUUUUGGGCAAUGGGCGAAAGCCUGACCCAGCAACGCCGCGUGGGGGACGAAGGCCUUCGGGUUGUAAACCCCUUUUCCAAGGGAAGAUAGUGACGGUACCUUGGGAAUAAGCCCCGGCUAACUACGUGCCAGCAGCCGCGGUAAUACGUAGGGGGCUAGCGUUGUCCGGAUUCAUUGGGCGUAAAGCGCACGCAGGCGGCUUGGUAAGUCAUCGGUGAAAUCCCCCGGCUCAACCGGGGGGGGUCCGGCGAAACUGCCAGGCUUGAGGUCGGGAGGGGGAAGCGGAAUUCCGGGUGUAGUGGUGGAAUGCGUAGAUAUCCGGAGGAACACCAGUGGCGAAGGCGGCUUCCUGGCCCGAAUCUGACGCUGAGGUGCGAAAGCGUGGGGAGCGAUCCGGAUUAGAUACCCCAGUAGUCC
rnacentral:rRNA from 1 species